UCCUGCCACCAGGAACAUUCCUCCGGAUAAUCGACAUGGCUCAGUCAGUGCCAGCAUUUCACCUCAGUCAUGCAUACGCAGUUACUCGCUACGGAUUUCCAAUACGAUUGCUGUGAGAUUCUCGCAUUUCUGAUAUCCCGAUUCUGAAAAUUCGUCAUUUUUACUGGAAAAUCAGGUAUUUUCGUCAGGUAUUCAGAUAAUUCGCGGUGGCGCGAUAAGAAAUAUCGCGAGAUAUUUUCAGUGGUGGUGGACGCUCCUGUCGUUGGAAUGGUGGUGCGACGUCGGAGGGUGCGCGCGGUCCAAUCAUCGGAGAAUCCGGCUCUCAAACCCGGGCAGCCCCGACCAGGGAGACGCCCCGUACGACUGGCGUCGGGACGCCUUCUCUUUCACAAUUCUGUGAAGAAUAGUCGAGGUACCGCUCCGAAGGGGCGUUGGCCCGUGUCCUCGUGGCUCUGGGUGAAUCCUUCAAGUAUUCAUUUUCACUUCACCGCAACUCAAUAUUUUCUUAUAAAAUGGCCGAUUUCACAGUAAUCACUCGUAAAAUGGCUGUGUACACGCUUCAAUGAAAUUAUUAAUCACGAAUAUAACUAAAUACAAAUGCACGUGGAACCAACGAGUGAUUCAGCGCAUGAAAUUUUCACCCCAAAAAUUCUCUCAAGUGAAAGUGCGGGUUUUUUAAAUUGUGCCGAGUGACGAGAAAAUUUUAAAUUUAAUCCACUCAAAAAUGUAAAUAUCGAUAUUCUGUUUUUAUUGUGGAACAUUUAUUGGAAGAGAUCAAAAAAAAAUAAUAUG